rnacentral:rRNA from 1 species
CCUACGGGAGGCAGCAGUGGGGAAUAUUGGUCAAUGGACGAGAGUCUGAACCAGCCAAGUAGCGUGAAGGAUGACUGCCCUAUGGGUUUUAAACUUCUUUUAUAUGGGAGUGAAGUGUUCCACGUGUGUGCUUUUGUAUGUACCCUAUGAAUAAGGAUCGGCUAACUCCGUGCCAGCAGCCGCGGUAAUACGGAGGAUCCGAGCGUUAUCCGGAUUUAUUGGGUUUAAAGGGAGCGUAGGUGGAUUGUUAAGUCAGUUGUGAAAGUUUGCGGCUCAACCGUAAAAUUGCAGUUGAAACUGGCAGUCUUGAGUAAAGUAGAGGUGGGCGGAAUUCGUGGUGUAGCGGUGAAAUGCUUAGAUAUCACGAAGAACUCCGAUUGCGAAGGCAGCUCACUGGACUGCAACUGACACUGAGGCUCGAAAGUGUGGGUAUCAAACAGGAUUAGAUACCCGGGUAGUC